rnacentral:miRNA from 1 species
AAUGAUAGUGGUCUCCUAGGAUUG